rnacentral:misc_RNA from 1 species
AAGACCGUUCCUCGAUCUCAGUGCCCACUGUUUCUGCUUAGUUUUGUUUCCACUACACUUUCUUUUUUGGUUAUUUUAACUCGCUUCCCUCUCUCAUUCUCUCUCUCUCUCUUCCUUGUGCUGUGUCUUUCUGUAAUAUUAACACGUUCAGAUAUCUUGUAAAUCUAUGUGUGAAUAAUGGAAGCUGGACCUAUAUAAAUUAUCAAUAAGCUAUCUGAAGAAAUU